GUAGAUAUAGCUCAGUGGUAGGGCAUGUGCUUAGUAUGCACAAGGUCCUGAGUUCAAUCCCCAGUACCUCCA
rnacentral:tRNA from 1 species